rnacentral:rRNA from 1 species
UGCAGUGGAGCGACGAACCGGGCUUCGGCCCGGGGCAGAGCCGCGAACGGGUGAGUAACACGUGGGUCACCUGCCCCGAUGACCGGGACAACCCGAGGAAACUCGGGCUAAUACCGGAUGUGCUCUUCGGAGCAAAGGAAGCUUCGGCCUCCGCAUUGGGAUGGGCCCGCGGCCCAUUAGCUUGUUGGUGGGGUAAUGGCCUACCAAGGCGACGAUGGGUAGCUGGUCUGAGAGGACGAUCAGCCACACUGGGACUGAGACACGGCCCAGACUCCUACGGGAGGCAGCAGUGGGGAAUCUUGCGCAAUGCGCGAAAGCGUGACGCAGCAACGCCGCGUGCGGGAAGACGGCCUUCGGGUUGUAAACCGCUUUCAGUUGGGACGAAGCUCAACCGGUGAAUAGCCGGAUGGAGUGACGGUACCUUCAGAAGAAGCCCCGGCUAACUACGUGCCAGCAGCCGCGGUAAUACGUAGGGGGCAAGCGUUGUCCGGAAUCAUUGGGCGUAAAGCGCGUGUAGGCGGCUCGGUAAGUCCGCUCUGAAAGCCCGGGGCUCAACCCUGGGAGGCGGGUGGAUACUGUCGAGCUCGAGUCCCGGAA